rnacentral:rRNA from 1 species
AUGUACGCCAAAAUUGAGCCUGGUAAAAAAUUGAAUUCAUUCCUGUUAGGAUCUGCACUGGCUGCUCAAUAUGUCAGGCUAUACAAACUGAAGAACCAUGCAUAUAUGACACAAUUUUAUGAGAUAUGGCACAAGUGGACGAAGUCUUACUUCACAUGUGUGUUUUGUGCUAAGAUGACCAGUACGCAGUGGAGUGAGAGCGCUAACCAUAAGCUGAAAUUUUUUGUGUCUCCAAGCUGUCCCAUGCAUGUGUUUGUGAGGAAAUACAUGAGACUGAUGUUUGAUAGGGAGUCUGAGGAAAAUUAUAAGGAGAACCGAACAAAAAUUACAAGAUACUUACUAGAAAAUAGGAAAAGUUUUUUUUUUCUAAAUAAUGACAAGUAG